UAACUAAAAAAGACAGGAGGAAAAACAGGGCCCUAACUAAAAAGAGAGGAGGGGCUGUAACUGAAAAAAAACCAGGGCCCUAACUAAAAAAGUCAGGAGGAUAAACAGGGCCCUAACUAAAAAGACAGGAGGAAAUAAACCAGACAGUGCAGCCUCCCAGAAGCAAAAGGAGGGAGUUUCUAGAACUGCACUAGAGACUGGUACAUGGAAUCCUGAGGAAAGCACUAGAUUGGACAUUGAGGAGGUCACUGGGGCCUCCGUGAUUGAACCAAGGUUCCGUGGAGGUGGGCACAGGGCUGGUACAUUGCAGGGGGCAGAGGAGUAAAGGGGGGUGAAUAAGCAAAGCUCUCAGGUGAUGGGUGCUCAGCUGGGCCUAUGCCAGCCUGGCCCUGCAGGGUCUAUGGAAGACAGGGCCCCUGUGUCACAGUUACCAAAAGCAUCAACAGGGCAUAAUAUUCUUUUUGUUGACAGAUCACUUUGAGGUAACUUGGCUUUUGGAGUUGUCAGGGCUCAGUCUCAAAGGCAGGCGCAUCAGAGCCAAGACUCGGCCCUCAAUUCCUCCUAUUAGGGCAGCACUAGGGCCACCUCUUUGUCACCAAAACCUUUGGGUAGCAGCUGAUGGGGCGAGUCACCUUUCUGGGCCCAGCAGGCCUUUCGGGAAUCCCUGGCUUUUGGGGUACAACAUCCUGGGGACCAUCAAAAAGCCCUUUCACCUGAGCUUUGGGAAUGAGGAACCGCUCCGGCUGUGGGCGGCUCGUGUCAUCAUCUGGAAGCCAGCUGGGACACAGCAGACGUGUAAGUCCUGUGUGCAUUCAUCCCCUUCUCCUUUUGACAGAAAAGGGAUGGUGUGGGCUGGAGAGGUGUUUUCCUGGGUUCUUGCACAAUUGCUAAUUAGAAAUUCACUUUUGUUUGGGUGUUGGAAGCUGGGCGAUUCCCCCUAGUAGUGAUCCUUCCUGUCUCACUGGUCACAAAGCCCUUUGGCAUCUACGAGCUCACUGGGUCCACAGAGCAGCUUUGUUAGGUGGGUGGGGGAGACCAAGGCACCCGUCUUACAGAUAGAAAAACCGAGGCUGCAGCUGGGAGGUGAGCCAGUCUCCUGGCUUCCAGCCCAGGACUCUGCACUCCUCCCCCCACCUCCCCGCCUACUUCAGCAGGUCACCUGUGAAUCUGAUAGUCAGGUGGGCCCCACCCUGCCAGCUGGCCCCAGUGGGCAUGACUCAUCCGACUUCCCCAUGACUCACACGCCUCGGGUGCUCCUCCUCUGGUCAACAAGUCUGGAGACUUGGCAAAUGGACCCCCAUUUUUCUCACCUCUCUAAAGUCUCUGGGAAGAAUUCCUGCACCUCCUCUUUAUGGGGACUCUACUCUUCUACAGAAGAGCCACCAAGGCCUUGAGAGGGAAAGCCACUCUCCUAAAGUCACACAGCAAGCAGGCAGCACAGCCAGGGUGGGAGCCAGGCAUCCGGGCACUGAGCCCAGUCCCUGCCUCCUCCCCACAAGAUCACUCUCGCCUGACCUCCCUCUCAAGGGCAGGAAAGGAGCAGAGACGCACUCUGAGCCUUAUUGGAAAGACCUCAGGGACUCCCACUGAAUCCACUGCGGCUACAGUGGCUGCUUCCACCACUGAAGUCCCCUCCAGGCUUCCCUGGGCAGCCAGGGCGGGGUUUAACAGGAGGACAGGUAUCUGCAUUGCUCUACCUACCUAA